AGAAAACACCUGGGUGAGCUGACUCUCCUUGUUUGUGUUCAGAAGAGCAUGGCUGUAGUUGUGGAUUGGAAGACCUUUUUGACCAAAGGAGAGUGCAGAUGAUGGAGAGGAGGAGGACUGGAUAGGAAGAAGAUAAAUGAUACAAGCCCACCAAUUUGUUGUUUUUAAACAAUAAAAUACAAAAAUGAGCUGGUCUACUAUCUCGUUAUGGGCCGCAAGGACAUACUGGCUGAAUGUCCAUAUGCCUACAGGUGCUGGACACCCUGCAAGGCUGUGACUUACAGGGCCAUUAAAGAUAUGUUGAGGAUGCCUCAAGCGAGGCUGAACUUCCUUAUCAGGGCCCCGUAAACUCCUCCCAAUCCCCGGAACCUGCACCUCUGGUAGGGCUCAUAGGAUCCCUGCCAACUCUGCAGCUCCCUGAACCUGAGCUAGCAGCACAUCCUUUCUGGCUGCGAGGCAGCACUGACACAGGACCAGUAUGGAUGGCGACCCGACUGGGUCCUGAAUAAACUUGGAGACACGCUGGCUGGAAGCUAACAGGGCCCGCCCGUCAACAUCACAGCAGCUGAUCCAAUUUAUCAGGUAAGGGGGUGAGGCUCAGAGCAGCAGCAUGAGGGAGUUCUCCCUCUUGUCGUCCAGAGAUGAGCAGUACAUGAGGGCUGACCUCAACUGCCAGUUGAAGUUCCCAUAAGGGAUCACCACAACCUCCCUACUGCACUGGUCCACCUCUACUAGGAUGGACAUUAUGGCUUAAUUGACUGUUUCAUGGGACGACAGAAUGGAGAUUGCCUAUGAGAGAAAGAAGAAAAGUACACAGAGCUUUCAGCUGUGUGCUCAAAACCAGGGUGGAGGGCAUCCACCUAUCAAAUGGCAGGGGGUUGCAGGGGCUACACUGGGACAUCCCCCCAGUGAUUCCUGAAGUCUGUUUGGAUCAAAGGCUUCAAGCUCAGGAAGGCUUUCAAAGACCUGGUGAAGGAGGCAGAACAAGGGAGCUUCUGGCUCUGGCUCUGAAGAAAGGACAAGGUGUAGGGAAAGCAAGGAUCCUUGGGCAGGCUGCAGGCAGCUCCCAGCUGACGACCCUGGAGCCGGCACAACAGCACCGUCGGUGGUGUGUCAGGCGGAAAUACCCAGCAGGUGGACUGACUUGUGCUCAAAUCUUUUCUUCAAAAAUCAUUCAUUUAUUUCUAUCUGAAAAAGUCCCUUUUUGGUUAACCAUGUUUUUUCUUUGUUUGUACUUGCAUCUACCCUUUGUGUGCAUGUGCGCAGUGGUGUGUCUGUAUGCCUGUGUAUGCCAGCUCCUUUGUCAGCUAAAAACAAAAAUCAAUUAGUUUGCGUCCAAACUGGCUACCAUAGCCCUUUGAAGCAUACGUGGAGGAAUGUAAUUCCUUUGAGCUCUGAGCACCAUCUAUUUCGGUCCAUGUUUGUCUAAUUGAAAUGUUGCUACAAAAACAAUAGAGUGAGGCAGAGGGGGAAAACCAAUUUAAAAAGUUGAUGAGGAUGGGAUUUUCUGGCUGGAACAAUUCCCAGCACUUUAAGAGUUCAGGUUAAAUUUCAGUAGCAUUUUGUCUCUCACACACACACACACACAGACAAACACACAUUUGUCUUACAUCAGUUGUGAGGAUACUCGUUGACAUAAAGCAUUCCCUAGCCCCUUACCCUAACCUUAACGAUCACAACUAAAAGCCUUACCCCUACCCUAACCUAACACUAACCUAAACCUGAUUCUAACCUGAACCCUAAAACCAAGUCUUUAAAGUCAAACAGCCCUUUGAGGGUGUGAAGACUGGCCAAAACGUCCUCAAAACGAUGGUUUCAAACCAGAAUUUGUCCCCACAACCAUAGAAAGGCACACGCAUGGACACAAUCAAUGAUAAAGACACUAAUAUAUGAGUACACAAAUAACACUGACAUGUCAUUAAUAUUGUCAUGCACUGGGAGAGACAUGAAAAAACACUUUAAUGCACAUUAAACAAGAUUGAAGUGCGUGCUUUUUUUUUCUGUACAUUAAGGGCUCAGAUAAAAAGGAGACAUAGAUUCACUAAUUUGGCAUUUGCUAUUACACUCCUCCAUGUUUAUGAAAACAGUUCCUGCUGAAAUGUUUUCCUUUUCAUAUGGAGGGAUGCAUAUGCAAGAUAUCUAACAUCACAACAUUAGUAGAAACUUUUUGGAUACUCUCUAUCUUCAAGUGUUUCCUAGCCUCCAACCAUAAACAUAGAUGCAACUAAGAGUCUAAGAGUCUACAACCAUGCCAGCAGCACUGAGGAUGUUCUUUAGGAACAGUGAAAAUGUUAGCAUUUGCUAAUUACAGUUAACAAUACAAUGAAAUGGGCCAAAACCCAAAGUAUAGCUGAGGCCAAUGUAAAUGUCAUUAUUUUUGAAAAUAUAUGGUAAUAAACCAAAGUGUUGAACAAAUUUAAUAUUUUUCCUGAUGUCAUUAGAUGAAAACCAAAGUUGUUACAAUUUAGGAACAUUAGUAUCUGCAACAAAUUCCAUGCCAAUCCAUUCAAAAUAAUUGUCAAGACAUUUCAAUUGAAACUACAACUGUAACCUUCUGUUGGCACUAGAGGACAAGUCACGGGAAAACCAGAGUCUUUAGGAAUUAUCCUCUGGGUACCAUGAUUGUGGCAAUCCAUCCAUGAAGAAGGCUGGUUAUAUAAGUGGUUCCAAGUGCUUCACUUCAUCACAGAAGAAAAUGAAGUAAAAAAUAAAUAUAGUAAAAUAAAGCACAAUCCAAUAAACCCAAUUCAACCUAAUAAAAAUGUAGCUAAAAUAAACCCAAAUCAUAUACACAUAUUGAGCUAAUGCUAAAUACACUAUGUGUGCAUGAAAAUAACUUUUAAGAGAAACUGUGUGGGGAAAUCAAAGCACGACUUUUACUCUUUUACUCUUACUAGAGCAAAGCACUGAUCGAAGAAAAUCCUAAGCUGGACAUGAAAGCAUGCUGCCAAAAGUUUCUUCUUCAUUCGAUUGUGGCCUUCAUUUUAUGACCUGUAGACAUGCUGAGUGGGAAUCAUGAAUACUGAACUUCACGUUUGACGACAUGCACAUUAGGAUUCAACCAGGGAUACACUGUUGGCAUCAUGGCAACUACUAGACAGAGAAAACUAAGAUCUCAUUCAUUGCAAACCUCCCUAGACUAACUAAGUAAGGCAACACUGAAGUGUCAAGAUGGUAUAACAGUACAACUGUCUACAUCCCCCUUUUUUAGCUUCAGGUCUCAGCCAAUAGCAAAAUGACAGAUAUAGUGUAUUACUUGUUAGUUCGGAACAAAUAAAACAGAACUAUGAAAUAACGAUCGUGCUUGGUAAAAACAUACUAUACAUGCACCUAAAAGUGGAGUGAGCUGAUAUGAAAGUGCAUCACAACUAUUGAAAUAUACACAACAAUAACACUUAACUCCAUGAAUAAAUGCAUAACACAAAACAACUAACAGCUUUUCUUCCAUUCAGGUAAAAAUUUUCUCCAUGUCCUGCUACUUCAGGUAAUUUGCAUUAGGCAUAAAAAUUCUACCAUAUCUAGUGUGAUACAUGGAAGUAGAAUGCUGGACUACAUUUUUUUCGAGACUCUCCAAGUACAGCAACCCCUAAGUCUCAAAAUGGUAUAAUAAUGGAAUUAUCUGCAUAGCCUACAUUUCUCUCUAUCACCUGACUCCUGGGCUGGUUCUGACUCAGUUUCCUUUCCUCCUCCAUCCUUUUCUUUAAAUGUUGAAAGUAUAAAAAGCCUCCUUUAAAAAAAAAAAAAAAAAAAAAAAAAUCAAGCACUACUCAAAGCAGUGCUUUCAAGCAGCACAGUAAACAAGCUCCUGUUGUUGGAAGGGAUGACUGCCCAGACACAGAUGUUGUUGAAAUUGUGAUAUUGUGUCAUUAAUUAAUCAUUAAUUUAAUUGUUCAAAGCCCUUCAUAUUGCUGUAUUAAAUUGUUGACUGUUUAUGCCUUAAAGUUCUGCAAGAUUUGUUACAGUAUUUGAGUGUGCUGACGGGUAUUCAAACUCUACACCUACAAAUUCAUAAAAAAUGUUUGUUAUUCACUUGCAUGUUACUUUUGGGUGCUCCAGGAUUGCGUACCUAACACAAACUGAACACAGAAUAUUCAAGAUUGUAUAUCCAAAUGGGUUGUGUGCUUUUAUGUAUUGGUAAUGAGCAUAAUAUUCUUAAGUUCACAUAAAAUGUAUUCAUUCAAUCACUCUGUCAAAGUUAAUCUUAAUAACGAUAGGAAGCCAGCCAAAUCUGGAGACAGUUGGUAUCAU